UCCACCGAAGAUUAUGUUGAGAUUCGACUGCCUUAUACUGCAGGAAUCCCAGAGAAAAAGACAGCUCCAUAAAAACCACAUUAACAUCUUCAUUCAUUCUUUGUUUGUUAAUCAGAUGGAGAAACUUGGGAACAGAGAAGUUACGUGACUUGUCUGUGGGAACGCAGUCUAUUGCAGAGUUGGGUGAAGAGCUCAGGUCCCUAUGAAGUGUCAUCCAUGAAGUUUGGUUUCAAAAGUGUCCAGGUGGAAAUGGUGUGAUUUAAAUGGGAAUGUCUAACAUUUAGGGUGCAGCAAGGAGGAGAAAGGAUCUCAGUGCAAGUCUAUAUUAUAAACGCUGCAUCGGCAUCAUCUUAAUUAUUCCACCUCUACGAGAGGCGGUAGCUACAUCUUCACUAGACCCAGUAAAUCAAUCCCUGCUGCAUCAAUUGCAGCAGCAUUGAUCUCCCUGGUAGACCAUCCCUAAUUUGCUCAGAGAUAGCAAUGUAGAAAUAAGUGUGUAGUGUAGACCUGGCCUCAGCAAAUUUAUUUUCUCUCUCUCUUUCCUUUAUGAUAAAGGAAUAAAGAGCAUGCAAAAAAGCUAUUGAUCCUGCAUCCUAACCCCCUUUUCUCACGUCUUUUGCUCAACCCCUUUUCCUCAAAUAAACUUAUUAAUAAAAAUAAAAGUAUUGGUAUUAAUCUGUGUUCUGAUACUUUUAUUUUAACAUAGCAGAGGAGAUUUACAUAUAAUUGUUGCAUGGAAGGAAGUUAUUGUUCAAUAACAGAGUAAUUAUUAACUCUAGUCUAAUAGAGAGUAGAAGAACUUGAAUUUCAUGCCUUCCUUUAUGGGUUAUUUUUCUAUUUGAGUUGUUUUAAAAUGAAUUUAGUCUGUAGAUUUUGUCUGUUUGUUUUUAAGGAUCUAAAAAUCUCAGUGAACUUUAUUUCCUCAGCAUGUAGAUUAGCCUUUAAUGAGAUCAAUGAGUAGCGUUGGUACUUCACUGGUCAAAAUUGUAAAUGUGUUGUUGCAUUUCCUAUUUACCCUGCGGCAUCAGGAUUUCUGUGUGUUACUGCUAAUGUGUUUGCAUUCUAUUAGCCGUCUAUAAAAUUUAUGAUCAGAGAGAUAUUGCACAAACAAUGCAGGGAGUAGAGUGCUUGGCAUUAUUUUAAGAAUAAAGCAGCACCAAAAAUGGUCUAAAAAGA